UAAGGAGAUUCUUCUGCGUGUUUAUUAUUUGCAUUAAGAAGCUAGUGGACAACUGGAUCAGGCUGCAGGAGUCAUGUGCAUGUUGUGACUAGCUUGGGGUUUCCCCAGUUGGACAUUCUCUGGUGAUGUCGAAGACAGACUUAUUCCUGAGGUCAGCAGUGUGACCUUGAUUCUAGGAAAGUAUAAUUAUGUCGAUCACAAACCAUUCUAUAGUAUCGAUGAUACGUGCAGGAUUGCAAUCGAUGACAACCGAAUUGUCGCUGGAUUUUCAACCAGAGCAAAGUUGGUAGUUAUUAUGCACCAAGAGAUGGGCGCUUGUGGGAUGCAGAGAUUGCUAGAUUGAAGGACGGGCUCACCCUUCAAGCACACGAUCACAGGUUAUUCCAGGGGAGACUAGGAUGAGAGUAGAGAGGGUGAUGGCUGCGAGGAUCCGUAACUGUAUUUUCAGAAUUUUAAAACCAGGAUGUAAAUAUUCUUUUUUGAUUAUUAACCCCCAUGUGUGUGAAUGUGAAGGAUCUAUACUUUUUUUUAGCUAAAAGGUCAUGUAUAUUAAGAA